rnacentral:rRNA from 1 species
GAUGAACGCUGGCGGCGUGCCUAAUACAUGCAAGUCUAGCGAACAGAUGAGGAGCUUGCUCCUCUGACGUUAGCGGCGGACGGGUGAGUAACACGUGGAUAACCUACCUAUAAGACUGGGAUAACUUCGGGAAAUCGGAGCUAAUACCGGAUAAUAUAUUGAACCGCAUGGUUCAAUAGUGAAAGACGGUUUUGCUGUCACUUAUAGAUGGAUCCGCGCCGCAUUAGCUAGUUGGUAAGGUAACGGCUUACCAAGGCAACGAUGCGUAGCCGACCUGAGAGGGUGAUCGGCCACACUGGAACUGAGACACGGUCCAGACUCCUACGGGAGGCAGCAGUAGGGAAUCUUCCGCAAUGGGCGAAAGCCUGACGGAGCAACGCCGCGUGAGUGAUGAAGGUCUUCGGAUCGUAAAACUCUGUUAUUAGGGAAGAACAAAUGUGUAAGUAACUAUGCACGUCUUGACGGUACCUAAUCAGAAAGCCACGGCUAACUACGUG